rnacentral:rRNA from 1 species
UAACACGUGGGUAACCUGCCCAAGAGACUGGGAUAACACCUGGAAACAGAUGCUAAUACCGGAUAACAACACUAGACGCACGUCUAGAGUUUAAAAGAUGGUUCUGCUAUCACUCUUGGAUGGACCUGCGGUGCAUUAGCUAGUUGGUAAGGUAACGGCUUACCAAGGCAAUGAUGCAUAGCCGAGUUGAGAGACUGAUCGGCCACAUUGGGACUGAGACACGGCCCAAACUCCUACGGAAGGCAGCAG